rnacentral:lncRNA from 10 species
GGAAGCGAAUGGAAGCGGGCGGAAGCCUCGGCCAAUGGCAAAGUGCGGACACAGAGGGGUUCCGGUGUGAGCACUUCCGCGGGGAGUUGAAAAGAGCUGGGCGGGAGAUCGUGUUCUCCGAGCGUUUUCUAUUGCGGAGAGUAACAAGCCCUCCUGGCAGUGGGCAGACCAACAUUCCCCUGAAGAUAGCUGCUCUCUUGCCACAUUCUCUUUCCACAUGCCUUCACUGCAAAGGUCUUCUCCAAGCCUGGGACUCCGAUUUGCCAACAUGCUGAUGAACUGACUUGACUACAUUGUUCUGUCUCUCACCUGUGAAUGGAAGAGGUUAGACCUCUAAGGCAAGCAAAAAGGCCAAUCCCAGAGUGACUCAUCUUUGAAAAUAUUGGAUUGUCUCACUCUCCCUGAUACUUAAUUAAAAGCCAUCUUUGCAAAGCAUCAUCCAAUUUCUGUAGUGGCCCCAGCGCUCAGUAGUCCCAGAGACUGUCAGAGCAAAAGGGAGCAGGAGGCAAUUCAAGCCAUCUGUCCUAGAAUAGGACACCUGGUCACAGGCCUGUGCCUCUGGUCAGGGCUCUUUGGGAGCCAUCUGGCCCUCCAUCCCAUAGAGCUGUGCUGAGCCAGACUCUGUCAAGUAUUGGUGAAACUAAGAGGAGAAGGUACACAAGCCAAAGUUAGCCUGGCAGUGAGCUUGACUGGGAGAGUUGCAGGGCCAACCGAUUCUCAUAAAUGUGUCCACAGAUACCUACACAGGUGUCUCAAAAAAAUACAUAAAUAAAAUAAAGGAAGCUAAUUAUACUAUAAUGGGAGUUUUCAGAAUUUUAUUAAGGUGAAAUCUAUGAAAUGCCAGAAAGGUUAAAAAGCUUGUCUACUUCAGGCCUUUGCUUUCUGCUUUAUGGCAAGAGCACAUGUUGAAUAUUUAGAUUAAUUCAAACCAACCUCAACACAAAUUUUUAACCCUGAUGCAAUUUCGGGGAACAAUAGUUAACAUCAUUUAGGAAUACAAUUUAGAACCCUCACCUUUAAAAAUGGAGCCAGAUUUUCAAUCUCUCUAAUUAAAGUGAAAGUUUGAUUUCCUAAUGCUUAUAACUCUACUGAGAUUGUGUUGGAAGAGAAGAGAUUGAUUAUAAAGCUAACUGAUCUGAUGUCCUCCUGACCAAUUCCCUUUCAUCUCUCUCCCCACAAAAAGGGACAAAAAGCUUAACACUGUGGUCAUCCAGCAGCCAGUCAUUUCCUAAUAUGGACAGUACAGUCCUUCAGUUUCACUUCCAGAAGCCAAGUACUAGGAGAAUAGUUUUUACAUUUGUAUAUGUUUCCUACACCUCUUUCCCUUCUCAGUCCCAAGAGAGAAGCCUCUGUGUUGCUUGCUUUAACGUUAAUGAUGAUGUCUGCAAUGACUGUAUUUCCUGAACCUACAGUAUGGGAUCAGCUCCAACACGUCACCCUAAUGUUUGAUUACAAAAUUUAAAUGAAUAAUCACAAAAUUUGAGGCCGGGCGCGGUGGCCCACGCCUGUAAUCUCAGCACUUUGGGAGGCCACGGCUGGCAGAUCAUUUGAGGUCAGGAAUUCGAGACCAGCCUGGCCAACAUGGUGAAACCCUGUCUCGACUAAAAAUACAAAAAUUAGCUGGGUGUAGUGGCAGAUGCCUGUAGUCCCAGCUACUU